rnacentral:rRNA from 1 species
AGCUCCAAUAGCGUAUACUAACGUUGUUGCAGUUAAAAGCUCGUAGUUGGAUUUUUAAGGGUAUCAGUUCCGUGUGGCCUCUACGUGCUGCAACGGAAGAUCAUUCCUCUUAUUUUAUGCCUACGCACGAUUGAAAUUCGCUUUUUGAUCAUGCAGUUGGCAUGUGUUUACUUUGAGAAAAUUAGAGUGCUCAAGACAGUCUUUUGAUUGUAUACUAUAGCAUGGAAUAAUAACUGAUGACU